rnacentral:rRNA from 1 species
UCGAGAAUAUUUAGCAAUGGACGAAAGUCUGACUAUGCGACGCCGCGUGAGGGAUGAAGGAUUUCGGUUCGUAAACCUCUUUUGGCAGGGAAGAAAAUUACCAAUCUAAUAGAUUGGGAUCUGACGGUACCUGCAGAAUAAGCCACGGCUAACUCCGUGCCAGCAGCCGCGGUAAUACGGAGGUGGCAAGCGUUACUCGGAAUUAUUGGGUGUAAAGGGCAAGUAGGCGGUUUAUUAAGUGGGUGGUGAAAUACUCCGGCUCAAUCGGAGAACAGCCUUCCAAACUGAUAGGCUUGAGUGUGACAGAGGAAAUUGGAAUUCUCGGUGUAAGGGUGAAAUCUGUAGAUAUCGAGAAGAACACCAGCAGCGAAGGCGAAUUUCUGGGUCACUACUGACGCUA